rnacentral:lncRNA from 1 species
AAACCAAUAGAUGUAUCUUAGAGGGGAAUGAGCUUAAAAGAAAACUCAUAGCUAUAAAGAUGCUAAAUCAGCUGUGUACCUCCUGGCUCUGCUUCUGCCUGCUUCUUAAUUCCCACUGGCUUUGUUGCCUGAUUUAUCCCAUAGAGUCUAUGAAUCCACAUCAAAUUGAUCUUCUUCAGCAUCUGGUCCUGGCUGUACUUCUGAUUCUUUUUUUCUGCAGUGAUCAGGUUUUUCAUCUUGCCCAUCAUCUUCUGGACCUCAAAUACCUGCUGAAGAUGAGAUUUUGCCUUAACUUAGUGGGCUUGAACUCUGUACUGAUGAUAUGAAGCAACCCUGCCCUACCUGGUGGAGAAGGAAAAUGUCAACUUCUCUCCCAAGUCUGGUGUAGUCCGAGGAAUUACUCCCUAGAGUGAAAAUUUAAAAAGCAAACCUUGUUUCAAGUAUCUAAGCUAUCAUUUUACAUUGGAGUACUUUAUGAAUUUUUUUUUAUUUGGAUCUCCUUCGAGAAGUCCCCCUAUAAUUGCUUAUUGAAUAACUUCAAGAGUGUGUUAUUAUUAUUUUUUCUAAUCGGGUAUCUUUAGAACCAUAACAGGUAUUAUCUUCUAAGAUGUAGUUAUAUAGGGCCCAGAUCACUGCUACCAGAUAAGACACAAAAGGAAAAUCUGAAGAGACCCAUAUAGCUCCACCUACAGAGACAGGAGGAAAGGGAAUUUGAAAUGUGGAAUCAAAAGCUGGAGGCCAUAACAGCAGAAAGCAGCAACAAUUUUGGAUGAUGGAUUCUCAGUAACUUAUAUGUGGAGCACAUCCCCUGAGACUUCAAGGGAAGUAACCAAAUGGGAAAUGGUAAGGUCUUAAGUCUGGAUUGAGAGUCAAAGUUCAGAGGAGGAAUGGCAAGAGUGAAACAUAGUAUCUUUUCUUAGCAGGACUGAGAUCUAAGCAACACACUGGAAUCCUAAACAAAGGGGAAACGUUACAGGAGUGCAGGUGGGGUUGAGCUUCAGGUAUGUAUCUUAGUUCUCAGAACAGGACAUAAGGUUACUUAAGCCCAGCUUCCAUAGGGUCAGGCAAAACAGCUUGAACAUCCCCAAUCUACAAAUCCAAAAUCUGAAAUGCUCCAAAAUCCAAGACUUUUGAGCACCAACAUGAUGCCACAAUUGAAAAAUUCCACACAUAACUACUUAACACAACUUCGUUUCAUGUGCAAAAUUAUUUACAAUAUUGUAUAAAAUUACCUUUAGGCUAUGAAUAUAAGGUGCAUGUGAAACAUAAGUGAAUUUUAUGUUUAGACUAGGGCCCCAAGCCCCAGAUAUCUCAUUAUGUAUGUACAAAUAUUCCAAAAUCCAAAAGCAUUCAAAGUCCAAACACUUCUGUCCCCAAGUAUUUUGAAUGAGGGAGAGACAACCUGUAGUUCCAAAAAUUGCUUCUGCUUGAAGCCCCGUUUGGGUCUGGGGAUAAAUUUUCAUGUACAUGCUAGCCAUGGGGAGUGGAGGCAAAUAGAAUAUUUCCUGUAACAUAGCACCUGUGGUCCUCUGAUUACAUUUGCACUAAUUCCUAAAGUAUCACAGGAACGUGUUCUCUUAACUCGGUGUCCCUAGAAACAGAACAUGAGAGAAGGAUUAAGGAAGUUCCUCCGGGAGCAACAGUGACGGAGUGGAAGAAGACGACAACAAACAAGGGUGUGAUUUCAAAUGAACCUCAUCUAGCCUGAUCAUGCAGAGUACUGGGCCUAAUUGGCAUUUUUAACUUAAACUGUAGUCAACUAUACAGCUAAAUGAGUUCAAGAAUAAUUAUAAGCAAAGAUCUUUCAUUUUUUUUCAACUUUCAUUUUAGAUUCAGGGGGCAAACAGGAAGUUUUUUAGCCCUUGCCCCGCUCUCACCCUUUCCCCUCUAGGAGUCCCCAGUGUCUAUUGUUCCCAUCUUUAUGUCCAUUUGUACUCAAUAUUUAGCUCCCACUUAUAAGUGAGAAUAUGUAGUAUUUAGUUUUCUGUUCCUGAAUUAAUUUGAGAUUUUUAUUUUAUUCUUUUUCUUUAUUUUUUUAAAAAACAGGAUCUUGCUCUGUCACCCAGGCUGGAGUGCAGUGACGCAAUUAUAGCUCACUGCAGCAUUGAACGCCUGGGCUCAAGCAAUCCUCCAGCCUCAGUCUCUCGAGUAGCUGGGACUACAGGUGGAUAUCAACAUGCCCAGGAUGUUGCAGCAAAGAAUCAAGAGGACGCCUUGUUGAAAGCUAAGCCUGUUGCUGGAGCAAACAGAUCUUUUGCCAGAGCAAUGACUCAACACACCACAAGGCAACUGAGUCUUGCUGCUCUCCAGAGACUGUGGUUAGAAAUACGUCACCAGCGGGAGCAUCAUUAAUCACAAAUGUAGGAGUGACAGUCAGUUUCUUGACCUCAUUGAGACAGGCAGGGAGGUCAUAGCUUCAAGCAGUUCAUUCUUCAGGCAAGGAAAACUAUUGGGAAGAUUUCCUUUUUGUUAUCGCUGGCAUUUUUAUUUAAUCCCAUCAUUUUCCCCACAGUCUGGGCAGAAGUACAAAAGCUUCAGACAGGCACAUUCUGCCCCUUUCUCUUUUUCUCGCUGCCAAAAGUAACCUUGGCAAUUGAUGGUUUAGGGAAAAACUACCACGCCCCCUUUCCUCAAUCUUAUUUUCUCUCAUCCAUCCUUUCUUAUUCUCUUUUUUUCUUCGCACUUCUCUUGGGGUCUAAAGAUCAGGAGGGUAGAAAGAGUCAUCUUAAUGGAGCCUGAUGUUAGCAGCCCUGCCUAUUUCUCUGUAUUGAUUGUAGUGGAAGGUUAGGAAGAAAUCUUCCCUGCAUGAGGGCACAUAUGUCCCUCCCGCAGUCGUCAGCCUGGUUGCUGUUGGAAGAGGGCUGGUGUUGUUAUUAGAGCCUGUCACAGCCAAUGAAUUUCAUUCCAGGCCCUACACAGGAAACUUCAUAAAGGAAAAACACCAAGAAUGAAAAGAAUUCAAGAACCUUGGUUUGUAUAUCUGAGUGCACAUUAGGACAUUGAAAGCACAUUUAAUUUCAUGCAGAAAAUCAUCAUGAUAUCAUCACAAAAGACAGUUUUGAAAUCAGAAAGUGAAUACGGUAAAAGGAGAUUUAAAUCAUUCACUGCAUUACUACUGUGCCAUGCACAUAAUAGGCCUUUGGGGAUACAGAAUUUAAGAUGCUGGAUGUAGUCCUACAUUUGUAGUCUGUACAUUCCUGGGGGAGGGAGAUGGAUAAAUAAACAAGUUAAAAAAAAAAGAAGAAAAUUUAAAAUAGAGACAAGAAAAAUAAAAGAAAUAAAAGAAUGAGAUGUGGAAGCAUGGUGGUGGAGUAAGUACCUCCCCAAGAAAGUACAAUAUAAAUAUAUACAUGUUUAUGGGUACUGCAUGGAAAUUUAAAGAAAAUUCUGAAUGUGCUAAUUUUUCAUUAAAAGGGAAAGAAAAUUAUUGAUAUUUAUCAUUAUUCAAAGGAAAUGGUUGUUUUUCAAGAAAAACAGUUUUAGAUUAGUUCCUAACACAUUUGGUUGGAUCUUUCUUUGUUUCUUUCAUUCUUUAUUUCUUUUUCUUUCUUUCUUUCUCUUUCUUUCUUUCUUCUUUCUCUCUCUCUCUUUCUUUCUUAAAACCAAACCAACCAAUAAAACAAGAAAAACCCCAAAACCUCAUUUUAGUUCAGAUCUAGUCUAUAAAUAAGCAGGGUUUUAUGUUUCUUAGAAUUUAAUUAAUCCCUAGUAAAUUACUAUCUUAUGAGGGAUUUAGAUUUUUGUGUAAUGCUGUGCCCUUUAUUCCAAUCCAAAGAGUAUCCAUGUAUUUGGGGUUAUAACACCAGUGUCAAAAAGUGAGAGUAUCUGUUUACAUGAUGUGUCACACUUUUUCUCUCUCCACAAAUUUGCUUUAUUUUAAAAGCAAUUAAUGGGCUUAGCCAUUAUCUAUCUUCAAAGAGAUCUGAACAAUUAGGGCUAUCCUACUUUUUCCUUUUUUUCCCCCAUUUCUGAAAGAUACUACCUUUACCCUUGCUGUCAUUAAGAUGUGUUGCAAGAUCUCUCUGAGGUCAUGCUGUAAAGAUUUUAGCCUUAGAAAAUUAAAGCUUAUGAUAAUAUGUAUCACAGAAACUUCAAAGAUCCACAUUAUCAAAUAUAGUGAUUUCAAACCUCAAUUAACGUAGUUUUAUGCAUGAAUACAAACAAACACCUGAACCUAUUAAGACAGUGAAUUAAUGUAUACAUAAAUAAUUGUCAGUGGAAAAACAGAAGGGUUUAAUGUAAAUCUAUGGCUGAGGUUUAUUUAUUUUGUGGAUAUUUUUACUUUUUUAGUUUUCUUAGUGACAGACAGAUACAUAAAUGUUACAUACACAUUACGUGUUGAAAUAUAUGUCCUCUUCUUUCUUGAUUGUGUCAGUUCUAUUUAGUUUAUUUUUCAGAGGCUGCUGAGAGAAUUACUUCUUUAAGAAAUUGGGGAUUGAAGAUUCUGAGUGUUUUUUAGUCAGGCUCAUUACCCCUCUAUCUUUAAAUGAAAAUAGUAGGAUCAACAAGGCAUCUCAAAGGGCAUUUUGACUAUUUAUCAGAAAAUUGUCUAGGUGGUUAUUUUUGCACAUGAGAAAUUUUCUAUCUAGCAGUUGACUAUUGCUUAAUUAACAAUUAAGACUAUUGCUUAAUUAAUUAAUAAACAAAAAAAAGUUUAAUGAUGGGAGUGCCCAAGAAUAUUUGGAGGAAGUUUUUUACCAAAUUCAGUACUACUACACUUUCCCUAAAAGAUGUCACUGAAAAAACUUCAUAUUCCAUGUUGUCCUUCUAUUACUGCAAAAUAAGUGUUAUUGUGGAGGUUAGCUUUGCACAUGAACACAAAGCCCUGAACAUAUAUGGUGAAAGUGAAUUAAUUUAUUUAAGACACUUCUGUUUUUCUCAGAGAGCAAGUGGGAAUGUAAAGCAAACUUUUCCUUUCUUCAAAGAAUCUUUAAGGACAGCAAAUUGAAUUACAGGAUUCGUUACAUAAAUAGAUUUGUUUUUCAUUGGAGGGGGCAGAAUUUUAUAGGAGAAUGUGUUUAGGGUGAGAUUUGUGUGGUCACAGGAUGAAAAAGGAGGAAGAAACAUAAGGAAAAUUAUUUAUAGAAAACAAUCAGUAAAUUUGAGUCUUGACCUCAAGUUGUUUAUGUCAACAGAAACAUAAUUUGUGGACCACCUUAAUUAUGUUUUGCUUUCCUGUUUCUGUCUGGCUGCUUUAUUUGUCCACAUUAAAGAAGGA